rnacentral:rRNA from 1 species
AUACGGAGGAUGCGAGCGUUAUCCGGAUUUAUUGGGUUUAAAGGGAGCGUAGGCGGGAGCUUAAGUCAGCGGUUAAAUGGUGCGGCUCAACCGUGCCCUGCCGUUGAAACUGGGUUUCUUGAGAGUGCAAGAGGCGGAUGGAAUUCAUGGUGUAGCGGUGAAAUGCUUAGAUAUCGUGAAGAACUCCGAUUGCGAAGGCAGGUCGCUUGGGCACGUAGGACGCUGAUGCUCGAAGGUGCGGAAAUCAAACAGGAUUAGAUACCCUGGUUGUCCGCACGGGAAACGAUGAUUACCCGAUGUCGGCGGUAGACAGUCGGCGGCCAAGCGAAAGCGAUAAGUAAUCAACCUGGGGAGUACCCCGGUAACGGUGAAACUCAAAGGAAUUCACGGGG